rnacentral:rRNA from 1 species
GAUGAACGCUAGCGGCAGGCUUAAUACAUGCAAGUCGAACGGUAAGGUCCCGCUUGCGGGAUACACGAGUGGCGCACGGGUGCGUAACGCGUAUGCAACCUACCUUUAACUGGGAAAUAGCCCCGAGAAAUCGGGAUUAAUGUCCCAUACUAUUCUGAGAAUGCAUAUUCUUAGAAUGAAAGCUCCGGCGGUUAUUGAUGGGCAUGCGUGACAUUAGCUAGUUGGUGAGGUAACGGCUCACCAAGGCUACGAUGUCUAGGGGUCCUGAGAGGGUUAACCCCCACACUGGUACUGAGACACGGACCAGACUCCUACGGGAGGCUG